UUCCUGGUGGGUUAGUGGCUAGCAUGCGGCACUCUUAUCGCUGUGGCCCGGGUUUGAUCCCCGGUCAGGGAA